UGUUAUUUUCUCCCCUGUUCUAACAUGUAAAACUCAGCAGCAGAAGUGCUAAUUGUACUUGUUACCAGCUUUUCCUCAUAGAAGGCAGGCAGGGAAGGAACUCAGCUCUUUCUUUAAAAAUAUUUCAGGUAGUCAGUCAUCUCCUUGCUGAAAUGGGAUUCCUAUAUUGUCCUCUGUGGUCUUCUCCUGGAUCUCUUCAAGAAGAUAAAGGCAUAAGUUCAAACAUGCGCUCUGCAAUGUCUCUCUCCUGUGCUUCCUAAUCAGUCUGAAAUCUGAAGGUAGGCACCGAUGGAAAAACAUUGAAUAAUCAUGCGGUAUUCACCUUUGCACCACAGGCAACUACCAUAUUCAUCCUGCCAUCUCUCCCACAGACUGGAGAGCUAAUUCCACUCCACAGACCUCCUCUUCAUACAAAAGAUACUUACUUACAUCUUUAAGCAUGUUGUUGUCUCUCUCUGUACCCUCAUGAGGGACACUUUUGAAAGCCCUUUGGAAAUCCAAAUGAUCUACUUGAAUCACCUUGUCCUCAUAUUCACUAAUUCCCCUGAAGAACAUGAACAGAUAAGCAUCCACUAGUUUAUUCCUUUGUAGUUGGCAGCAGAGAAUACAGAAAUGCCAUAAAUGUGACAUACGCCUGUUCUCAUAAUUGUCAGACUUCAUCAUACUUCAUACUGCAUACUUCAAUUUUCAUUGCUCCCACCAGAUAUAUUACUGAAAAAACCUGAUAGUCAUCAGUGAACCUCAACAGGGAACGCUGACUGUUUCUGUAUACAAUCCUGCAAGUUCAUCACUCCACAACUCUGUAACACCACACAGGAUGUACAGGAGACCAACCCGAAAAGUAUGGGAGAGAAAGGAGACUUUGGAAAGCAAGAGGAAAAAAGAAGGGUGAGAGGACCAAAGAAAGGAAGAGCAAAGAAAAAAAACUUCAGCAUUGGAAAGGAGUAAAAUACUUACUUUUUUUUAAGAACAUAAAAAAUUAGGAGUAAGAGAGAAGGCAAUGAAGUGAUAGGAGACAAGUAAAUUAUAUGAUAGUUAAGCAAGAGAAAUGCUAAAAAAUGUCAAAAAAGAGGAGGUGGAGACAUUAGUGUUUAUGUAAAUCAAUAUGCAAAUUGGUUGCAGCCUCCAGGUGCCUGGAAAUCUGCCAGGGCAGCACUCAGUAUUCCAAAGUUUGGUCUCUCUAGCUGCAACAUUUCACUCAAAGUUGAGGUACUGGAGUUGAAGCUAGAAGUGCAUAAGAAUGCAGUUUUAACCGAUACUAAUAAAGAUGACACAUUUCCUCCUUAGUUUUAAAACAAAAACUUGAUAAAACCUGAAAUGUUUAACAUAAAUCUGAAUCUUUACAUUUUUAAAGCACAUACAUAUGUUUGCGCACACAAUGGCUGAAUUCGAUAAGCCUUCUGUUAGUCACAGGAAACACUCAAGACACAUCUAAAUAUCAAAACAUAUAUAGUAAAAUACACUAGUUGUCAUGCCACUGCACCUCAAUUUUGUGUGUUCACAAACUCCGCAGAAACAUUUUCUUCUUUUUUUUGUAAAUUAAACCAAUGUUAAUUUCCAGGUUAACUAUUCUGCAUAAGAAAUACUGGAAGGGUGAUUUUAAAAAAAUAUUCUUUCCAUCUGUGAGAGCAUUGAGUUUCACCUACUGUUCCGAUUAAAAUAUAAGCUUGAGUAAACAGUCAGAACUAGAUCCAGAGACAGACAUUGGUAUUGCAACAUUCAGCAUUAUAACACCUAACUGUGAGGCACUUGGCUCUUGGAAUGGAAUCUACGGCCCUGAGUUAUUGCUUCGUCUUUUUAUACACUAGAUAGAGGAGCUGAGUGCCUCCAAAAGAGAUUCGCAACUGCCAGCAGAGUGACUUGGGCUGCCAGAGCUAUCCAAAACCCACAACCCUAGUUACACCUAACUUUGGAUUGCAAGAGGCAGCCGUGUGUGAUAAGGUUUCACACUCUGGAACAGUCUCUUUGAGUUAGACACCUUCAGUUGUUCAUGACAGAGAGCAGAGGUCACUUUUACAUAAAUACCACAAUGGUGGGGGAGGUUAUAAAGCAGAUUUCACCAUUUCUGGGAGAACACUGCACUAAAGGCUAUUGUGGUGUAGAAAAACUCCAUCCCUGUUACAAAAGCUGUGGUGUUUUUAAACAACUGCCUCAGUGAUUUUGGAAAGGAAAAAAAAUCAAGGUCUCAGACUAAACUUUUCAUUUCUUCCAGUUACAAGUGUUACGUUCUUGCUUUGGCUUCAGACCAUCCUCAGCUGCCAUAUUUUGGGCAGAGAUCUCUCCUGUUACUGUAUUCAGUGCUAUUAUUCCGACUAUAGGAGAUACCUCAGAGGAGACAGGAAGAAAGAGAGCUUGCCUGAGGUUCCUGAAGGUCUCGUGAGAGAGAAUUGCUGGGUUUCCUAAUCAUAUCAAAAUAGCUGCAGUAUGCAGAAUUUGCAGAAGCUAAAUUGAAGUUCUUAAGGAAUUUUGUUAAUGAAAACUUGGGAUGGUUCAUAUGGGAAGGACAGAGGGGUGAAUAUUGUGUUCCUAGACCUAGGUAUGUUACACCAGUAUCUCAGUUUAGAAGCCAAGUUCCGUUGUAAAUGUGCGCCUAAGUUUCUCAUUUCUUUCUAAAAGCAGAACUAAAUAUUGCAAAAUUUAUGUAUCCAGCUACAUCGGAUACUGAAGCUACUACUACAGAAAAUACUAUGCACAUUUCAUACAUACAAAACUAUGCUACUUUAAGUAAAAAUGAAAUAAUAAUUUAGGAAAGGCAGCACCCACUGAAAAAUUUCGUGCAUCUCAAUUAUGGCAAAGUUAUGGAUGCAACCUAAGUGGAUAUUAAACUAAUAAAGAUGUUUCCAGAAAGGCUUACUUUGUUUAAAAAACAAAAACAAAGAAACUUAGUUUAAUUGGUACAAUUUUUCUGUAGAUCAAAACCUUAAUUCUGUAAUUUUCUGAACAACAAAAUUCAUCACUAAUUCAGCAGAGGUAUAAAGAUCCUACACUGAACAAAUCAAUAUUUUACUUGAAUCUGCAUAUUGAAAGGACAAAAUAUAGCAUGUCCAAAGAGAUGGUAUAACUAACUUGUUAAUAUAAAUGCCAAAAUUCAGUAUUUCCCUCUUAUAGGCUGGAUUUGCCAAGAAAUAUAAAUUGAACAAUACAGAAGCAAAAAUUAAAGCAACAUCAGGCUCUCCUGAAUUUCAUAUUCUUCACAACACAUUACAGAAUGCUAUUGACAACUGCCCAGUAAUUUGUAUACCCAAGGCAUGUACAGUGAUCCUAUUCAUUUCUUAAUGAAUACAAUUUAUUUUUUAACACAACCAAAACUAUUUUAAGUUCAGAAAUAACCUUUAACAGAAAAAGCUCAAUUUCAUUUCAAGUUAAAUGGUUUAGCUUUUUAAUUGUAAAAGUUCAUGCACUUUUCCUCUUUUUAUGGGUGCAUAACAUUAACCAUCUAAUAACUUUGUACAAUUUAGUUUGAUUGAGACACUUUAGCCCCUAGUUACCCUGGACUAAAAACAGUUGAAAGCUGUAGACCACUGGAAAAACUUCUGAAGAAGUAUAUUAUUCCUACCUUUAAUUCAGUGCUAUUAACUCCCCACAUCUACAACACUAAAUGUCAUGCCAAAUUCUUUAAGGAAAAUGAAACUGAUAUGGAAGUGCUGAGAAAAUUUCAUACAAAUGCAUAAAAGGACUUUGGAACAUUCAGAAGUUGAGAUUCUGGGAUAGUGCUGGUGAUAUACCAUGAUUCUGUGAGAAAAUACAAGUCUAAAUUUCUAUAGACACUAAAAACCCAAAUAACUUUACAGAUACAGUCCCUCUGAUUCAUCUUUAGCAUUAAAAUAUUAAGUAAUGAUAUGGGCAUUUCUAGUAUCUUUUUCUCAAACCCAAAUAAUCAUCGAGUGUAAAUGCUUAGACUUUCCAUAUUGUACUUGGGAAGAGUUAGGUAUAAUCCACGCCACAACAUAAUGAACACUCAAGCCCUACAUGCUGAACUGGCAGACACUUAAUUUUAGCUUUUCUGAUUGUCAUCCACAGGUGUUGUGAUAGUCCUUCCUUAACUAGUAUUCAGGUGCUCAUGCCAAAGCUUCAAGCAAAAGUCACACUGCCAGCCAGCUGGGACCUUCAGCCUCUCAAAGAUAAAGUAAUCAUACUAAUUUUCCUUCAAGACCUGAGCAGGGCUCAGUUCUCAUUAAAAAUGCAGAUGCUUGCAGAAAUAUUACAAAAGUAAUGCUAAGAGGUUGGAACACUUUUCCAGGAAGUAAAAGGUCUGGAUUCAAAGCCUUCCUCACCCUCAGAAAUACAACCUCCUCCCUCCCCCAAUCCCACCCCAAAAAUUCUCCACUUCUUCAAGCAGAGCACUAAUGGUCUAAAAUUUUGUGCAGUAGAGCAGAAAUUCUUUAUCCUGUACUUUUUUUUUUUUUUUUUUUAAGUACUUUGAGAUCAAGAUUGUAUAUAGAAAACUGAACCCAUCACACGUAAUACAUACCAUUUU